AGAAAUAUAAAUAGAUUAAGCUACUAACUUAAUUUUUAGUGGUUUAACCAUUAAUAUUUCUU
rnacentral:tRNA from 1 species